CCUACGGGAGGCAGCAGUGGGGAAUUUUGGACAAUGGGGGCAACCCUGAUCCAGCCAUGCCGCGUGUGUGAAGAAGGCCUUCGGGUUGUAAAGCACUUUCGGCCGGAACGAAAUCGCGCGAUCUAAUAAGUCGCGUGGAUGACGGUACCGGAAGAAGAAGCACCGGCUAACUACGUGCCAGCAGCCGCGGUAAUACGUAGGGUGCGAGCGUUAAUCGGAAUUACUGGGCGUAAAGUGUGCGCAGGUGGCCGCGCAAGUCGAGUGUGAAAUCCCCGAGCUUAACUUGGGAAUUGCGCUCGAAACUACGUGGCUCGAGUGUAGCAGAGGAAGGUGGAAUUCCACGUGUAGCGGUGAAAUGCGUAGAGAUGUGGAGGAACACCGAUGGCGAAGGCAGCCUUCUGGGCCAACACUGACGCUCAUGCACGAAAGCGUGGGGAGCAAACAGGAUUAGAUACCCUGGUAGUCCACGCCCUAAACGAUGAUGACUAGUUGUUGGGGGAGUUAAAUCCCUUAGUAACGCAGCUAACGCGUGAAGUCAUCCGCCUGGGGAGUACGGUCGCAAGAUUAAAACUCAAAGGAAUUGACGG
rnacentral:rRNA from 1 species